GCCAGUGUUUCAGGAUGCCUCCAUGUUUAUGUUACUUUCUGGCUCUCUGCCUUUAGUUAGGCUGUUUUACUCAGAUCUGUUGAAGUCAAUAGCCACACUCUGAUAAUGGUUUACAUUCUCAUAAAUCCAGUCAAAACUAAUUCCAUCUCUCUGCCUUUUAUUUUUUACUUCUGUUUAUCCUAUACUCAUUGCAAAAUAUGAGUUUCUUUAUACCUUUUUAAUUUAGUGAGGUAGAUUGCUCACACUCUUGCAAAAGCAAUUAUGUUAGAACAUACUUCAUUACUACAUUUAUUGUUACAUUAAAAUGUUUGUUGUUUUAAAGAGUCUAAUAGGGAAGGGAAGGGAAGGGAAAAGAAGGGAAGAGAGCAUUGGUCAGCCUCUGAAAAGAAAUCUGUGCUCAUUGAGGACAUAGUUUCAGCACUUAAGGAGUUACCAGAUACUGUGAAAAAACUGAAGGUGGUUGUGUCAGCAGUGAAGGUUCCUCCUCUCUCACCGGCACCCGCAUGCUCUACAUCAUCCAGUGUGAUCUUCAGCCUGCUACAUCAGCACCAGUUGAAAUAUUACUGACUGCCUGUCUGACCCGAAACUGAUGGAUGGUGGACCUUCAGGAUCUCAUGGCCCUCUUUGGCCAGACUAAUGGAAGUUUCUGGAAGUCAGCCUUACCAUCACCCACCAUAGUUCCGAAGCCCAUCAUCCAGUUUAUUCAGCUGCCUUGGACUAGAUGAUAAGGCUGCAGAUCCAGGGCUUUAAGCAGAUGGGGAUUUUUUUGGUAAACUGAAUGCUGGUGCUGUUGUUUAU